CUUUUCUCUUUUCUUUCAAUUUUUUACCAUUUCCGAGGAAUGCUUUAUAUAUUAGAGAAAUAAAUAACCCUGUAUAUCAUUUGUCUUGACUUUAUACAGUCCUUUAGUUACACAGAAAGUUUUAAUUUUUAUGUCCUCAUAUCUGACAGGUUCUUUCUCCUUUAUAGAUUCUGGAUAGUCUAUAGUAAGGAGGUCUUUUCCUCUCCGAAAUUAUGAAAAUGGUUGCUUGCAUUUUCUUCCGGUAGGUUUCUAAUCUAUCUGGAGUCAUUUUCGUAGUUUUAACGUGAAGUAAGAAGCUACUUGUCAACUUCCAGACAAUUGCCCCAAUGCCAGUAGGGAACAAGACAAUGAUACUUCCUUUUAUCACUAGCUUUAGCAGCCAAAAGCCAGCAUGGGGCUUGUUGUAUAAAUUUGACUGCAUACCUAAUAUUUACUAUAAGGCAACUAUUUUUUAAAAUGAGAUUAAUCUAUAUUUAUUGAGGAAGAUGUUAAAUUUUUUUAAAAAGCUAUGGAAUAGUGUCUAAAUACUUUCCCAUUUUUGUAGGAAGAAAACCCAUGUUAAUUGCCUAAGGCAAGGAAAUUUUUAGAAAGAUAUAUAUGAAAUUCAAGGCUUCACAUUGUGAAUAGAAUCAUCAGGGGGAGAAACUAUUUGAAGUAUAUUAUUUAAAUUGUGACAAGGAGCAUGAUUUGUUUUUGAGAUCCUAAUUGCUGUAAUACUGAUAAUUUAAAAGUCAGCCAAAAGGGUACUUCUGUUGUUGCCUGAGAGACAUUUGAUUUGCUUUUUAAUUAAAAAAACAAUUUGGAUAUGCUCAGCAUAAAUGUUUGGGGAUCGUUUAUUAAAAGUACCAUCUUCAUGGCUGACUUCGCUCUGGAUGGUCAUUCUGAACUUAGUGUGGGUUCCAGUUCCAGGGUGGAAGGGCCACGGUGGGCGAGCCCCCAAUUUCAGACGAGGAGACUCCCUGAUGGAGGGUAUCCAGUGAACCCCAGAGAAGAGCCUUCCUGGGAGAGAGGUCCUCCCAGUGAGAUGCAUUUGUUCAAGUAGCACCUCGGCUUUCUAAACUACUCUCUGCUCCAGAAGUUUCCACCUGCGGGUGAGAUCAGUCCAUCAGGGACAGCAUGGCCACCGGAAGUGGUGGGGGCGGGGCCACCGGAAGUGGUGGGGGCGGGGCCACCAGAAGUGGUGGGGGCCGGGGCACCAGCAGCCCCUGGGAAAGCCCGGGCGGCUUCUAAUAUGCCUUUCCUCCCCGAGACAGGCUUCGAAGAUUCACUUGCGUGACUCUUUCCUUAAAAUUUGCUCCUAAUCAACAACCUGCCUUAACCAUUCUGCCUCCUUAAGCCAGGCUUGGCGUGGGGCUCGGCCCCUCCUGUCCUCCACCACCCUCACGGAUUCUGCUGAUCAGAAUGGAAACCUGAUAGAGGAACGAAGGUCCUGGACUUUUGUAAAGUCCUCUGUGUCCAAGUCUUAUGAAGGAGACUCCCCUGUAGCAGAGACUCAAGGGUCACAGGCCCAGCCAGCUCAACCCGGUAGCUGGACCACCUCCUAGCUGUGUAGUCUGGGCAAGUUACCUCACCUCUCUGGUCCUCAUUAGCCUCCUGAGGAACAAGGCUAGUCCCCACUGCAGGAGGUUCUGUUGAGGACUGAAGACAUCAGUGUGUGUCCUGUAUGGUGCGUGACAAGAAGGGACAGAUUUGCUGGCCAUUUGAUGAUUGUUUCCUCUAACAUCAAACUGAUUUCAGAAAUAGCUAUGGGAAGAGUUUCUAGAGCGCACAUUAAUUUUCAGACUUUUCUGGGAGGAGAAAAGCUUGCCCACCCAGGAGUUGCCCAGGAGUAACAACACUGGCUGCAGGGCUAUUCUCAGCGUGACCCUGGGGCCAGUCAGACUCCCAAGUCCUGAUGCUAUAUGGCUUUAACUUCCAAGAACCUCAAACCCAGUUUCUGAAAUGGGAGUCAUGUUUACAGUCCGGAGAAGUGAUCAGAUGUCUGCCAUUCCUGAGAUUUCUGAUACUGUGGAAACCUUACUUAACUGCGUUCUCAGUUUCCUCCCUGGUCCAUGGGAAGCAAGAAUUAACUGGAAUCCAUGCCCCGCAUGUAGUGUUCUCAAAAAACCAGUGGAAGAACAUGCAGCAGCUCAAGG